UCCCUGGAAUUAUCGCGAGAGCAAUACCCGGGCAGGUAGCUUUCGGGGGCGUUCCGUGGUUGAGGGGCAGUUAUGACGGUGGCUUAGCAACAUUCUCUUGGCUGUCCUUUCAGUGGGCAGAGGGGAACUCUGCAGAAGAGCUGGCUCCUGAUUUUGCGCGGAGGAGGCCGCAUUCCCGAGAUUACGCCUGACUCGGAUAAGUGCCAGCCAAGUGACUGCCCGCUCUGGAGGCCUGGCCACAGCACCGGCUCCUGGAACUUCUGGAAGACCGCCUUCGAGCCUCCCAGUUAGUGCUAUAAAAGGGCGGGUGGGGUGGGGUGUAUGGGGUGGGGUGGGAGGUGGAGAACGUAAC
ensembl:lncRNA